CUUACCUCACACAAAGCAUAACACUGAAAAUGUUAAGACAGUUUAUUAACUCUCUUUCAC
rnacentral:tRNA from 1 species